ACCCGUGGCGGGGGAUGUCUUGGCUCCCACAUCGAUGAAGAACGUAGCAAACUGCGAUAAGUAGUGCGAUUUGCAGAACUCGUGAGUCAUCGAAUUUUUGAACGCAAGUGGCGCUCGCGGGAAAUCCUGCGAGCACGUCUGUUUGAGGGACCGUACAAUAGGUUAAAUCACUCGGUUUUGUUAUUGUACUUGGUGCUUUAGCACCACACCAAUGUGUGUGUGUGUGUGUGUUAUAGCCCGUGUUGGGUGUUCCGUUUACUAGCACAAACACAUGCAAAUGUGCGAGUGUGAAUAAUGGUCACUUGAAGUGUAGGGAUUAGAGGUGGCCGGCCGGCUAUACAGCCACCACCACUAAUAAUCACAUAGUCUUGCCAUUAUACAUGUGGUAUGGUUAUGGUUGUUUUGUGCGAGAGUGUACUUUUGUAAUUGUACUGAUUGUUGUUGUUGUUCAGGAGAUAUUCUUUGAGCCGCAUCAUCCAGUUUUACCGUAGUACUACCACCGCCGCAACUGUGAAGUAAUAUUGUAUUAUUGAACAGUUGCUCAAGUGGGAGGAAUGGUCCGUGAUGAUGGAGCUCGUCUAUUGUUGAUAGUUCAAUGUACAGCACUCAAUUGUGCAUGCGAUUGUGUUAAUCGAACAAGCGACUGUGAUGAUGUUGUAUCACAUAGGCAGAGACGCAUACCUUAGGUCCUCAAAUCAGGCGAGAUUACCCGCUGAAUUUAAGCAUAUUAUUAAGCGGAGGAAAAGAAACUAACCAGGAUUCCCUCAGUAGCGGCGAGCGAAGCGGGAUGAGACCGAGAUGAAAAUCCCUUCGGGGAGUUGUAAUCUGAUUUAUGUCGAGUGUUCAGUGAAUGUAAGUCACAUGGAAUUGUGUACCGUGGAGGGUGAGAGUCCCGUCCAGCAUUCACAGGAAUUUCUCGUACGACAUAAAUUCAACCGAGUCGGGUAGCUUGAGAUCGCUGCUCUAAUAGGUGGUAAACUUCAUCUAAGUCUAAAUACUGGUGGGAGACCGAUAGCGAACAAGUACCGUGAGGGAAAGAUGGAAAGCACUUUGAAAAGAGGGUGAAAAGUACCUGAAACCGCCACGGGGGAAGCGUAUUGCAUCAGUGUGGUGCGGCGUCUGUUCAGCAAGUUUCGAUUUGUGUAUUCAGCGCUAGCCGUGUUGGAAUGGCUGUUGAAUUGUAGAUGUUGUACAGUUCGAUGGUGAGGGCUCCCUUCGGGUGAGGAUUUCAACGAAAUGAUGCGAUUCGACCCGUCUUGAAACACGGACCAAGGAGUUUAGCAUUACUGCGAGUCGAAGAGUGAUAAAACUCAGAGGCGAAGUGAAAGCGAACAUUUGGAAACCUUAACAGGUUGAGGAGGUGUUGCGUCAUUGACAAAACAUCCUACCUAGAGCAGUAAUGCUGAGACCCGAAAGAUGGUGAACUAUGCCGGAGUAGGGCAAAGCCAGAGGAAACUCUGGUGGAGGCUCGUAGCGAUGCUGACGUGCAAAUCGCUCGUCGAACUUGGGUAUAGGGGCGAAAGACUAAUCGAACCAUCUAGUAGCUGGUUCCCUCCGAAGUUUCUCUCAGGAUAGCGGGCCGACAGUGGGUUGUUUUGUGUGGUAAAGCGAAUGAUUAGCGUAUUUGGGGAUGUAAUAUCUUCGGUCGAUUCUCAAACUUUAAAUACGCAAGAUAGAGGUGGUUGCUUAAUUGAACCUCUCUACUGAAAACGUCGGCCCUGUGGGCCACUUUUGGUAAGCAGAACUGGCGAUAUGGGAUGAACCAUAAGUUUGGUUAAGGCGUCAAAAUACCCGCUUAAAGAUCCCACAAAAGGUGUUGGUUCAUCUAGACAGCAGGACGGUGGCCAUGGAAGUCGGAAUCCGCUAAGGAGUGUGUAACAACUCACCUGCCGAAUGAACUAGCCCUGAAAAUGGAUGACGCUUAAGCGGGUUGCCGACACCAGACCGUUUCGAUAAGAAGCGAUCGAAAUGAGUAGGAGGGCGUGGCGGUUUUGUUGAGAAGGAUGAGACGCAAGUCUAUCUGAAACGGCCGCUAGUGCAGAUCUUGGUGGUAGUAGCAAAUAUUCAAGCGAGAUCCUUGAAGGGCGAAGCGGGGAAGGGUUCCACGCGAACAUUGAUUGGGCGUGGGUGAGUCGUUCCUAAGCCGGGUGGUAAUCGUUCUUCGAUCGGCGAAAGGGAAGCGGGUUAAAAUUCUCGCACACGGAUGUGGAGGCGGUGACGCAAAUUGAGGUGGAGACGUUAGCGGUGGCACUGGGCAGAGUUUUCUUUUCUGUUUAACCUGUGAGUGCACUCUGUGGAAUCCGAUUAUCGGGCGAAACAGGUGCUUAUGGGAAGAGCGUCGGGGCGUCCCCGGCGUCCAGUACGCCACCGAUAGCCCUUGAAAAUCCAUCUGCAAUGAAAUUUCACGCCGUGGCGUACCGAUAACCGCAUCAGGUCCCCAAGGUGAACAGCCUCUGCUCAAUAUGAACAAUGCAGGUAAGGGAAGUCGGCAAAAUAGACC
rnacentral:rRNA from 1 species